rnacentral:tRNA from 1 species
GCCGACGUGGUGGAAUGGUAGACACUGGGGACUUAAAAUCCCCUCCAUGAAAAUGGGUAUGAGUUCGAGUCUCAUCGUCGGCA